GAGGUAUUAGUAAAAAUUUACAUAACUUUGUCAAAGUUAAAUUAAAGGUGAAAACCCUUUAUACCUUU
rnacentral:tRNA from 1 species